rnacentral:rRNA from 1 species
CCUACGGGAGGCAGCAGUGAGGAAUAUUGCGCAAUGGGGGAAACCCUGACGCAGCGACGCCGCGUGGGCGACGAAGGCCUUCGGGUCGUAAAGCCCUUUUGUCAGGGACGAGUGAGGACGGUACCUGGCGAAUAAGUCUCGGCUAACUACGUGCCAGCAGCCGCGGUAAAACGUAGGAGGCGAGCGUUAUCCGGAUUCACUGGGCGUAAAGCGCGCGUAGGCGGUUGGUUAAGUCGGAUGUGAAAGCCCCUGGCUCAACUGGGGGAGGUCAUUCGAUACUGGCCGGCUUGAGGGUGAGAGAGGGGAGUGGAAUUCCCGGUGUAGCGGUGGAAUGCGUAGAGAUCGGGAGGAACACCAGUGGCGAAGGCGGCUCCCUGGCUCACUCCUGACGCUGAGAGCGCGAAAGCGUGGGGAGCAAACGGGAUUAGAUACCCCGGUAGUCCACGCUCUAAACGAUGAGGGCUAGGUGUUGGUGGGAUUUCCCAUCUGUGCCGAAGCAAACGCGUUAAGCCCUCCGCCUGGGGACUACGAACGCAAGUUUAAAACUCAAAGGAAUUGACGG